rnacentral:rRNA from 1 species
GAUGAACGCUAGCGGGAGGCCUAACACAUGCAAGCCGAGCGGUAUUUGUUCUUCGGAACAGAGAGAGCGGCGCACGGGUGCGGAACACGUGUGCAACCUGCCUUUAUCUGGGGGUUAGCCUUUCGAAAGGAAGAUUAAUACCCCAUAAUAUAUUGAGUGGCAUCAUUUGAUAUUGAAAACUCCGGUGGAUAGAGAUGGGCACGCGCAAGAUUAGAUAGUUGGUGAGGUAACGGCUCACCAAGUCAAUGAUCUUUAGGGGGCCUGAGAGGGUGAUCCCCCACACUGGUACUGAGACACGGACCAGACUCCUACGGGAGGCAGCAGUGAGGAAUAUUGGACAAUGGGUUAGCGCCUGAUCCAGCCAUCCCGCGUGAAGGACGACGGCCCUAUGGGUUGUAAACUUCUUUUGUAUAGGGAUAAACCUACUCUCGUGAGAGUAGCUGAAGGUACUAUACGAAUAAGCACCGGCUAACUCCGUG